AUACCAGAUCGUUAAAUAGCUGCAUGACUGAGUGUUUAAUUUUGAUAAAAUAUCGAAAACAAAAGUGUGCACACGGACAUUUUCAAGUACCCAUUAAUUGGGUUUCAUGUACCCAUUAUUCGUUUCAAUAUUGAAAUGUCAAACAAUGGGUAUUUUUACAAAUACAAAUAAUGGGUAUUUAAUCCUCAUGCAGAAGUUCCUCGUUUCUUGAUAAUAAUGGGUAGAUUAUACGCCUCGUUUUGGUGUCAUAUUAACGCCAUUUUCGCUCCGUUUGGAUGCGUUUAAUUGUUUUGACCAACAUAAUAUUAAAUUCUCCGUUAGUGUUUAAAUAAUACAAGAAACCAAUAUGAAGCUGCUGGAGAUUUCGGAUGAUGGUGAUCCUGUUCAAGUGCAUCUGUUGUGCCGUGUCUAUACAUCGCCUGCCUAUGAGCGUCUGCAGGAUGAGACACUGUGCAAAAGCUCCAUCCUGAUGAUUCUCCACUUGUUGCUUCGGCAGAGGAAUGAAUUUCGACGGGCAUCGGCAAAUUGAUCCACCGGAGAAAAUUCAUAAUGUUAGCGAUAGUGCAAAAUUUGUUUCGUGCAAAGUCUCGAUCAUUAUCAUGUAUUAUAUGAUUGUUUAUUAAUGGAAAUGAAUAAAUUUUAUGUUUAAUGUU